rnacentral:rRNA from 1 species
AUGGCCGCGGCGUCGUUCGCCCGCCUCUUGCCGCCCCUCCUCUCCCUCCUCCUCCUCGCCGGCGCCGCGCGGGGCAAGACGGUGAAGAGAGACGUGAAAGCGUUGAAUGAGAUCAAGGCUUCACUAGGAUGGAGAGUUGUCUACUCAUGGGUCGGCGAUGACCCUUGUGGGCAUGGUGACCUUCCCCCCUGGUCUGGUGUGACAUGUACUCAGCAAGGGGAUUACAGAGUUGUCACCGAACUGGAAGUCUAUGCUGUGUCAAUAGUUGGUCCAUUCCCUACAGCGGUAACAAACCUGCUGGAUUUAAAAAAACUGGAUCUCCACAAUAAUAAGUUGACGGGGCCAAUUCCUCCACAGAUCGGACGGCUGAGACACCUCAAGAUAUUGAACCUGAGGUGGAAUAAGCUUCAAGAUGUGCUCCCGCCCGAAAUUGGUGACCUAAAGAAACUUACACACUUGUAUUUGAGCUUCAAUAACUUCAAAGGUGAAAUCCCUGUGGAGCUUGCAAACCUACCAGAACUACGCUAUCUUUAUCUUCAUGAGAACCGCUUUACUGGGCGGAUCCCCCCUGAGCUUGGAACUCUCAAAAAUCUCCGUCACCUUGAUGUUGGUGGCAACCACUUGAUAGGCACUCUGAGGGAAGUCUUCAGCAUUGAGAAUGGCUUCCCCUCCUUGAGAAACCUAUACGUUAAUAAUAAUCAAUUGGCUGGAGUGGUGCCAGAUCAGAUUGCGAAUUUGACCAACCUUGAGAUCUUGCACUUGUCCAAUAAUAGGCUGAUUGGAUCGAUAUCGCCAAAGCUAGUUCAGAUCCCAAGAUUGACAUAUCUGUAUUUGGACAACAACAACUUCAUUGGAAGGAUUCCUGAAGGGUUAUACAAGCAUCCAUUUCUGAAGGAGCUGUACAUUGAGGGGAACCAGUUUAGGCCAGGAAGCAGAUCAAAAGGAGUGCACAAGGUGCUUGAAUUACCCGAGGCCGACCUCUCGGUUUAA